UUAUUUUUAUUGUAGGCGUUCAACAAUAGUUUUUACUUAAAAACGCGCAUUUCUUUAAUUUAAUUAAAGGAAAACGACAACUCUUCCAGGGGCUAGCAAUCAACCGAAUGCUGAUGAUGAUGCUCCAAAUUCCCAACAGAAAAAUUCUAUAGAUGGUGACUUGUGCUCUAAUUCCGAUGCUGAUUCGAGUCAGGGUUUUGUUUCUGAAAAAUUGAUAGAGUGGAAGUUGGAAGAAUACAACGAGAUCUUUAAUCGGGAGAAAAUUAAUAAAUUUGUGUUUUUACACAUUCCCGAUGAGAACCUUGGUGAACUAAUAAAAAACCAUUUGGAGAUCACUAUCAAUUUAUAUUUCAAAGACAACGACAUCUACAGUCCACGAACUCUGUUGUAAUCGCGCCUCAAGUAUCAUGUACUCCUGGAUCUAAAUUAAAAACAUUACUAAAAAGUACUUUCAAUGGACAAUACAUUCUGAAGCAAUCAAAUCUAUUGUCAUGUGGGAACGAACUGGCCACCAUUGUUGUUGAAUAUAUUUUAAGUCUAAAUAAACGACUGCUCAUUACAAAACAGCAGUAUCAAUUUUGGGCUGAUGAAAUAAGUGCUGUUUGGUCAAAAGAAAUCUCAACAACAUGGUAUCAUCAUCGUAGUGGAACUAACGCUACAUCAGGAAAGUUGUAUCAUCGCUUCUGCAAUCAAUCUAAAAAAGUUAAGUCAUCAGUAAAAAAAUUCUUGCAAGAAGAAAAAGAAGAUAUAGUGUGACAGGGUAAUUUUAAUGAACAUAAAUAAAUAAAUAAAUUUGAAUUUGAAUUUCGUUCCCGCCAUAACCGGCCGAUGACCUCGUAAGUUACGAGUAGUGUUGCGACUAGUCACCGGGUGUCGCAUAGAUCACUAAGGCCCGUCCGUUCGUCAUUUCCUUUAGUUUAAGAAAGUGGGAAUAGGUUUCCGGAGAAGUGGACGGGAGUGAAAAGAUAUAAUGGACUGCGGAACAAAAAGAAGUUAAGAGUUGUCCAGACGACGAGAACCAACGGACGCAAACUUAGCAUCAUCAAGGUAAAUAUAUACGUCCGUUCACGCUUCACGUGGAACGAGGCGAUAAUUAAUUUAUAUUUAACUGUUUAAUUAAUUAUUAGGCCUUUAGGCCGAUAAUUAUAAUAAUCGAUAACUUAACAAAAUAUUAAUGCGUACUGUUCCUUGACAGAUUACCAAUUGAAAUUCCUGGGUGACGAGAGAGAGAGAGUGCAGACCAGCGGAGAGAAACUUAGAGGAGGCGACGAGACCACUUGAUACCUUCUCAUCGUGACUGUUGGAGUUUCCUCGAGAUUAUUAAAUUGGCAAAGAAAAUCAAGACUGCCAAUAAGUUACUGGAAAAUCUUUCUGGUGUUCCAAGUGAUGUCAUAGCUUGGAAAGUAUUUGCGCAUCUUUUUAAACCUGUAUCGAUGGCUAGUGGUACAAAAAAGCCAUGGAAAGCAUCACGUAAAGAACAAGCUGAUGGUUUUAUAACUUGGAUAGAUGUUGUUGAUCAAAUGGAUACCGUAUUAACUACUCAAAGAAAGACUUGUGAGAACUGGAAAAUAUCUCUACAGCCUUUUAUUAUUGUUGUUGGACCUUUAGUAAACAUAACUGCAGCUUACGUUAUCAUCAACAGUGAACGGAUUCAAUUUGAUUCAGUGACAGCGCAGUUGCAUUUUGUUGGAAAGCAA